rnacentral:rRNA from 1 species
CCUACGGGUGGCAGCAGUGGGGAAUAUUGGACAAUGGGCGAAAGCCUGAUCCAGCCAUGCCGCGUGUGUGAAGAAGGCCUUCGGGUUGUAAAGCACUUUCAGUGGGGAAGAAAGCCUUGGGGCUAAUACCCGCGAGGAAGGACAUCACCCACAGAAGAAGCACCGGCUAACUCCGUGCCAGCAGCCGCGGUAAUACGGAGGGUGCGAGCGUUAAUCGGAAUUACUGGGCGUAAAGCGCGCGUAGGCGGUCUGAUAAGCCGGUUGUGAAAGCCCCGGGCUCAACCUGGGAACGGCAUCCGGAACUGUCAGGCUAGAGUGCAGGAGAGGAAGGUAGAAUUCCCGGUGUAGCGGUGAAAUGCGUAGAGAUCGGGAGGAAUACCAGUGGCGAAGGCGGCCUUCUGGACUGACACUGACGCUGAGGUGCGAAAGCGUGGGUAGCAAACAGGAUUAGAUACCCUUGUAGUC